ACUUGGUCUUGAAGCUAGAGGAAGAAUUGCAUACUGUAACAUCUUCAUCGUCCAAAUAAUUACACAUCCCGGCAGUUACAUUUUCGAACUUCUGGUCAAAGUACGAAAUCACUCGAGAAAGUGAUUUCAUUGUCCGUUGCAAAUCAAAUUGGUGGUGCAAUACAAAGACAGUUCGCGGACGCCUUGAAA